UGUAUCGACGAUCGACAAAUUAAACAUAAAAAUUGGAGCCACACCAGACGAGACAGAUAACGGGAAGCAUUGGUUGGUAGAAAUGGAAACAAACCCUAAUCACAUGGUUCCACCCACACCGGCGGUUGAUCCUCCGCCGCAGUCGCUGCCGUCAAGCCAAAGCCAUCCGCAGCCAAUCUUCUCAUUUCCAAGGAGGCCGACCCUAAGAGUGACUACUGAGUUCGACAGUGACAGUGCAAUCUUCUUCCAUAAAAUUUCUUGCAAGUUGUUGGACACACUUGCCAAGUUCAAGUUCCAAUUCCACAAUAACAGCAAAGGUGAAAUCUCCGAGCCUCAACUCAGCUUCGUGUCCAAGCACCUUAGUCUCCACUAUGACCUCGAAGACCAGAAUGCUCUUGUUAAGAGUUCCUUCGAUGUUGGUCCCAGAUUGCAUGUCAAAGCUGCUCACGAUGUCAAGGCUCAACAAGGAGAGGUUACAAUGCUUGCAAACCUCGCUGAUCCUGGCUAUGCGCUUGAAUUGUCCACUCCCGUUCCAUCUGUUGGAUUGCCAAAAGCAACCCUUAGAUUUCCUGUAGGUGAAGUUUCGCUACAGGAGAAGGAGACAGAGGAAGAGGAAGCCAAGAAUUUGUUGUCAGUGAGUGGGAUUCUCAAGGGUCAGUUUUUUGAUGGAGUUGGCACUGCUCAGUAUAAGGAUGAAGAAUUGAAAUUGAGAUAUUGCUAUAAGGAUGAUGAAAUGUCUUUUAUUCCCACAUUAUCUGUCCCUUCAAAUGCUCUGUCUUUUGCCUUUAAGCGUAGGCUUACUCCUUCCGACAAGUUAAGUUAUUGGUACAAUUGUGAUUCCAACUAUUGGAGUGCUGUCUACAAGCGCACCUAUGGUAAAGACUUCAAAUUCAAAACUGGUUAUGAUUCAGAGGUUCGUCUUGGCUGGGCAUCUCUUUGGGUCGGAGAUGAAGGUGGGAAAGCCAAAGCAGCCCCCAUGAAGAUGAAAGUUCAAUUCAUGCUUCAAGUGCCACAAGACGACAUAAAAUCUUCAGUUUUAAUGUUUCGGGUUAAGAAGAGAUGGGAUAUUUAAUAGUUUGCUGAUGUAUUUCUAUUCAUCUCAUGGAAAAGAAAAAAAGAAAGUAUCUCCUAACUCGGCAGGUGAAUGACUAAUUCGUGAUUUAUUAUGCUUCUGGUGGAAAGCCUUGCUACUGUUGCACAUGUAGAUUUGCAAGUUCGUGUUCCGAUUAAAAAAAGCCUCUCUGUAUACCAGCAAAAAAGAAAAAAGCAUUUCUUCAUACGUGUAGAGGGUCCAGAAAACUAUACGUGUCACCAUCCUUUUUACUUGGUCUUUACAAUUGAGUUAUAUUUUAGCCCUGUUUGGAUACAGGGCUAAGUCUGAAAUUCAGAUGAACAUGAGAUUUUCAACAAAAUACGUAGCCUUCGGAUUUUGAGCAAUUUGGGCUUGGAAGGAACAUGACUGAUGAGUUCAUCCAAUGUGACUACACGUGAGAGCGCUUAUUCCCCGUGGAAAUGAAACAUGGAGAAGUUUUCUUACAAAAUGUUCCUCCCCCUUUGUGUAAAUUUGUCAAAUAGAUUUAAUCUUUUUAUGCAUUAUGAUAUAAUUUAGUCUUUU